UACGUAGGGGGGCAAGCGUUGUCCGGAAUCAUUGGGCGUAAAGAGCGUGUAGGCGGCCCGGUAAGUCCGCUGUGAAAGUCCAGGGCUCAACCCUGGGAUGCCGGUGGAUACUGUCGGGCUCGAGUCCGGAAGAGGAGUGUGGAAUUCCUGGUGUAGCGGUGAAAUGCGCAGAUAUCAGGAGGAACACCAAUGGCGAAGGCAGCACUCUGGGACGUGACUGACGGCUGAGACGCGAAAGCGUGGGGAGCAAACAGG
rnacentral:rRNA from 1 species